GAGCUUCGGCGUCCGGGGUUGGUGUUCCGAGUCUCCUCGUUGCCACUAAGCAGCACGGCGUGGGACCCUACUUCGGGAUUCACACAUCCACUUCAGGUGACCGGCCCCGCAGCUUGCUCUCCCCGAGGAUUCGCCUUGGUUUUGUCCAGUGCGGCUAGGCCCCGGGCUACCCCCCCUUUCCCGUUCUUGCGCGGGAAGUGUCUGGACCCCGUCGCCACCGCCCGCUGGUGAUUUCCUGCGCCCUCUCGCCAGCCGGUGUCUGCUCCUGCGAGCCAGAAACGUGGCUGGACGGGCGGAGGAACCCCUGAAGGAACGUGGGCCAAGUAGAUUUUUACAGCCUCCUUAAAGAUGUCUUGUGGUGGGGAGGCCUCUGGAGAACCCUCGACUCCAGUCCCACUCCUAGUUCAAGACGAUUGCUUUUACCGGACCGGAGAAUUUGGGCUUUUUUUUUUUUUCUUUCUUUUAUCCUUCUUUUCAGCCCCAAGAUACUGCCAAAACUUUUCUCUCUGUGGAGACUGAACUUUUCGCCAAAGAAACAAUAGGAUAAACCACCAUAUUUAAGUUAAAAAAAAGUCCAAAAUGGAACUAUUAGUGUUGAGGUCGUUAAGUUUUCGCUCUAGCUGUGCAUUUCUGUAUGAGUGAAUUCCUGGAAUUUAAAAUCAGCUGUUGAAGUUAUUUGCCCUGUUUGGGUAACUGCGAAAAUAAAACUGGAGUUUUGUAAUUAUGGACGCUGAAAGCGUAAAACUUUAGAGUUAAGUGUGUACUCGCAUUGGGGCUCUUAAACACCCCCUUAUAUUUAGGAUGCUUUAAUUUCCACUAAGGAACAAACAUUGUUUCUUGAAGAAAGGGUACAUCAGAAAAGUCUUGAUUUUUCUCCUCCUCAAGUUGUUGUUAAAGAGGUGGAGACCCUCGACAGUUCAUCAAAAAUGUCAGUUAUGAAAUUGUAGUGCUUUUUCUGUGCCUAUGAUGCCAGAUGGUGGGCCCUGAUUCUCAAAAGACUUAGUUGUACUAGUAAACUUUAGAGCUGAACAGCGUUUUCCCAGCGUGGUACAUUUUAUUUUGGAAUGUUCAUUGCCCAUAUCUGCUAUGGUGACAUGACAAUGUACCGACUCUAGAAGUUAACAGGGGCAAAAUACUAAUAAUGCAAGGUAUUUGAAACUAGCUUUGAAGUGUGUUUUUGUUUGUUUACAUCAGAACACAUACAGUCUGUAUGGCAUUAACUACAGAAGUGGGAUCCCUUGUGAGAGGUGUGAGGUACACAUAUCUUUAAUCCCAGCACUGAAAAUGCUUGAGGCCAGCCAGAGCUGCACAGUGAAACCCUGUCUCUAAAGGGGGGGUGGGAGAGCCCUUAACAUUGUCAUACUGUGUGUGAUACAGGGAAACUUUGUGGAUAUCAGAUUUUGUGUUAAAGACUUGAGUUUAGUUCUUGUUUUUAGUGUAUAUUAUGUAUCUGUCUUUGAAGUCACUUAUAUUUCUGUUCCUUGGUUUCCUGUUAAUACUUUUUUGGGCCUUUUCAGAACACCUUGUAAUCCUAAUUUGUUUUCCCACUAGUACUUAAUUCCCUAGGGAGGGAUUUUUGUGUCAGAAUUGCUUAAUACUAAGUAAUGACUACCCCCAAAAUUGUUUUAACAGAUUAAAUUGC
rnacentral:lncRNA from 1 species